GUUGAAGAACGUAGCGAAAUGCGAUAAGUAAUGUGAAUUGCAGAAUUCAGUGAAUCAUCGAAUCUUUGAACGCACAUUGCGCCCGCCAGUAUUCUGGCGGGCAUGCCUGUUCGAGCGUCAUUUCAACCAUCAAGCCCCCGGCUUGUGUUGGGGACCUGCGGCUGCCGCAGGCCCUGAAAACCAGUGGCGGGCUCGCUAGUCACUCCGAGCGUAGUAAUACAUCUCGCUCAGGGCGUGCUGCGGGUUCCGGCCGUUAAAAAGCCUUAUUUACCCAAGGUUGACCUCGGAUCAGGUAGGAAGACCCGCUGAACUUAAGCAUAUCAAUAAGCGGAGGA
rnacentral:misc_RNA from 1 species